GGCGGACGGGUUAGUAACGCGUGGGAACGUGCCCUUCUCUAAGGAAUAGCCACUGGAAACGGUGAGUAAUACCUUAUACGCCCCCCAAUCAAAUUCCAUUUGGUUGACGGAAAUUCUGUUGAAUGCCGGAUGGCAUUUGAUGGGGGGGAAAGAUUUAUCGGAGAAGGAUCGGCCCGCGUUAGAUUAGAUAGUUGGUGGGGUAAUGGCCUACCAAGUCUACGAUCUAUAGCUGGUUUUAGAGGAUGAUCAGCAACACUGGGACUGAGACACGGCCCAGACUCCUACGGGAGGCAGCAGUAGGGAAUCUUGGACAAUGGGCGCAAGCCUGAUCCAGCCAUGCCGCGUGAGUGAAGAAGGCCUUAGGGUCGUAAAGCUCUUUCGCCUGUGAUGAUAAUGACAGUAGCAGGUAAAGAAACCCCGGCUAACUCCGUGCCAGCAGCCGCGGUAAUACGGAGGGGGUUAGCGUUGUUCGGAAUUACUGGGCGUAAAGCGCGCGUAGGCGGAUUGGAAAGUUAGAGGUGAAAUCCCGGGGCUCAACCCCGGAACGGCCUUUAAAACUCCCAGUCUAGAGUUCGAGAGAGGUGAGUGGAAUUCCAAGUGUAGAGGUGAAAUUCGUAGAUAUUUGGAGGAACACCAGUGGCGAAGGCGGCUCACUGGCUCGAUACUGACGCUGAGGUGCGAAAGUGUGGGGAGCAAACAGGAUUAGAUACCCUGGUAGUCCACACCGUAAACGAUGAAUGCCAGUCGUCGGAUAGUAUACUAUUCGGUGACACACCUAACGGAUUAAGCAUUCC
rnacentral:rRNA from 1 species